rnacentral:rRNA from 1 species
UAUCAUGUUGAAACACCGGUUCCCGUACGAUCACCGAAAGUUAAGCAACGUCGAGCCUGGUCAGUACCUAGAUGGGUGACCGCUUGGGAAUACCAGGUGCUGUAAG